ACGCUAGCGGGAGGCCUAACACAUGCAAGCCGAGCGGUAGAGAUUCUUCGGAAUCUUGAGAGCGGCGUACGGGUGCGGAACACGUGUGCAACCUACCUUUAUCAGGGGGAUAGCCUUUCGAAAGGAAGAUUAAUACCCCAUAAUAUAUUUGAUGGCAUCAUUAGAUAUUGAAAACUCCGGUGGAUAGAGAUGGGCACGCGCAAGAUUAGAUAGUUGGUGAGGUAACGGCUCACCAAGUCCAUGAUCUUUAGGGGGCCUGAGAGGGUGAUCCCCCACACUGGUACUGAGACACGGACCAGACUCCUACGGGAGGCAGCAGUGAGGAAUAUUGGACAAUGGGUGAGAGCCUGAUCCAGCCAUCCCGCGUGAAGGACGACGGCCCUAUGGGUUGUAAACUUCUUUUGUAUAGGGAUAAACCUUUCCACGUGUGGAAAGCUGAAGGUACUAUACGAAUAAGCACCGGCUAACUCCGUGCCAGCAGCCGCGGUAAUACGGAGGGUGCAAGCGUUAUCCGGAUUUAUUGGGUUUAAAGGGUCCGUAGGCGGACUCGUAAGUCAGUGGUGAAAUCUCAUAGCUUAACUAUGAAACUGCCAUUGAUACUGCGGGUCUUGAGUAAGGUAGAGGUAGCUGGAAUAAGUAGUGUAGCGGUGAAAUGCAUAGAUAUUACUUAGAACACCAAUUGCGAAGGCAGGUUACCAUGUCUUAACUGACGCUGAUGGACGAAAGCGUGGGGAGCGAAC
rnacentral:rRNA from 1 species